rnacentral:rRNA from 1 species
CGCGAUUCGCCCUUCGGGGUGCCCAGGCGCGAAAACUUUACAAUGCCGGCAACGGCGAUAAGGGAACCUCGAGUGCCAGGUUACAAAUCUGGCUGUCGUGAUGCCUAAAAAGCAUUGCAUAGCAAGGGCCGGGCAAGACCGGCGCCAGCCGCCGCGGUAACACCGGCGGCUCGAGUGGUAACCGUUAUUAUUGGGUCUAAAGGGUCUGUAGCCGGCCGGGUAAGUCUCUUGGGAAAUCUGGCAGCUUAACUGUCAGGCUUUCAGGAGAUACUGCCUGGCUCGAGGCCGGGAGAGGUGAGAGGUACUUCAGGGGUAGGGGUGAAAUCUUGUAAUCCUUGAAGGACCACCAGUGGCGAAGGCGUCUCACCAGAACGGACCUGACGGCAAGGGACGAAAGCUAGGGGCACGAACCGGAUUAGAUACCCGGGUAGUCCUAGCCGUAAACGAUACUCGCUAGGUGUCGGCCACGGUGCGACCGUGGUCGGUGCCGUAGGGAAGCCGUGAAGCGAGCCACCUGGGAAGUACGGCCGCAAGGCUGAAACUUAAAGGAAUUGGCGGGGGAGCAC